AUUGAACGCUGGCGGCAGGCCUAACACAUGCAAGUCGAGCGAGCGGCGGACGGGUGAGUAAUGUCGGGGAAACUGCCUGAUGGAGGGGGAUAACUACUGGAAAAGGUAGCUAAUACCGCAUACCAUCAGAUGUGCCCAGAUGGGAUUAGCUAGUAGGUGGGGUAAUGGCUCACCUAGGCGACGAGCCCUCGCUGGUCUUAGCGGAUGACCAGCCAAAUUGUACCUGAGACACGGUCCAGCCUCCUCCGGGAGGCAGCAGUGGGGAAUAUUGCACAAUGGGCGCAAGCCGGAGGCAGCCAUGCCGCGUUGGUGAAGAAGGCCUUCGGGUUGUAAAGCACUUUCAGCGGGGAGACGUUACCCGCAGAGGAAGCACCGGCUAACUCCGUGCCAGCAGCCGCGGUAAUUC
rnacentral:rRNA from 1 species